UAGGGAAUAUUGGACAAUGGGGGCAACCCUGAUCCAGCCAUGCCGCGUGAGUGAAGAAGGCCCUCGGGUUGUAAAGCUCUUUUGUCCGGAAAGAAAAGCUUCGGGUUAAUACCCCGGGGUUCUGACGGUACCGGAAGAAUAAGCACCGGCUAACUUCGUGCCAGCAGCCGCGGUAAUACGAAGGGUGCAAGCGUUACUCGGAAUUACUGGGCGUAAAGCGUGCGUAGGUGGUUGUUUAAGUCUGAUGUGAAAGCCCUGGGCUCAACCUGGGAAUGGCAUUGGAAACUGGGCAGCUGGAGUGCGGUAGAGGGUAGUGGAAGUCCCGGUGUAGCAGUGUAAUGCGUAGAGAUCGGGAGGAACAUCCGUGGCGAAGGCGACUGCCUGGACCAGCACUGACACUGAGGC
rnacentral:rRNA from 1 species